rnacentral:lncRNA from 1 species
UCAGUUUCCACCCCUGACCGUCCGAAAUGUAAAAGGAGGAGGCGUACCCGCAGUCCCGGCCACGAAGCCACCCUGGGGACCAGGAAGCAGGAAGUGACCCGCCACUUCGAUGGGAUUCCGGGAUCCCCCCAGCCACCAGGGGGCCGGGGCCGAGUGUCUCGACCCAAAUCCCUUCUCCCACCCUCGCAGAGUCUGACACAAAGUGAAAAGGCGGAAUCGAACCCCAGAGCUCAGUUCUAGCCGGCCUGGAGGAUCCCUAGACACCGAAACUGGACUAGGAGGCCGCCUCAGGAUGGAGCCAACGUACCUAUGGGGCCAGGCCCGACCUCUACUUUGGAGACUAAGGAACCCACGAGAGACCCAGCCCGGAGGCGAGUCUAGGAGGGACACAGGGAGAAGGCGCCCCAGAGCACUCACCACCUCCGCCGCGGUCCCCCGCCUCUUCCUGUCCCGGCUGGGCUCCCUCUCCGAGUUUUCCUUCGGUCCCACUUCCGGCGCUCAGCGCUGUCUCAUUGUGCGCGAUUGGGAGCCGGCUGUGCCCCCGCCCCGGCGCUCCGCCGCGCACGCCGGAAACGCGCGCAGCGCCUGGAGGGCCGCCCUCCGCCCCGCCCGCCGUCGCCCAGCUGCCGGGCCGCCCACCGUCGCCACGGCGCUCUGCCCCCGGGUAUGGGUUGUCAAGGCCAGCCCGGUUACGCCCCUCGGCGCCCGCGGGUUGUUCGCCCUCUACCCCGGCGCGCGGGCAGGGCCUUCUCCGGACACGGAUUGUCGGCUGGGAGCGGUUACCUGGGGCAGGGGCCAUCCUGACUCCAGAACCACCCGGGAGCAAUCGCGGGACCUCGCCGCAGUCCCUACUCGUGUCAGUGUAUAUUCAGCAUCAGGGCAGACCAGAGGUCCAUGGUGGCAGUUGGUAAGUGACUGGACAAAGUUUACAUAGGACAGGGAUCAUGCUAG